rnacentral:rRNA from 1 species
ACGAACGCUGGCGGCGUGCUUAACACAUGCAAGUCGAACGGAAAGGCCCUGCUUUUGUGGGGUGCUCGAGUGGCGAACGGGUGAGUAACACGUGAGUAACCUGCCCUUGACUUUGGGAUAACUUCAGGAAACUGGGGCUAAUACCGGCUAGGAGCUCCUGCUGCAUGGUGGGGGUUGGAAAGUUUCGGCGGUUGGGGAUGGACUCGCGGCUUAUCAGCUUGUUGGUGGGGUAGUGGCUUACCAAGGCUUUGACGGGUAGCCGGCCUGAGAGGGUGACCGGCCACAUUGGGACUGAGAUACGGCCCAGACUCCUACGGGAGGCAGCAGUGGAGAAUAUUGCACAAUGGGCGGAAGCCUGAUGCAGCAACGCCGCGUGCGGGAUGACGGCCUUCGGGUUGUAAACCGCUUUCGCCUGUGACGAAGCGUGAGUGACGGUAAUGGGUAAAGAAGCACCGGCUAACUACGUG